CCCAAGGCUUGCUGGAGGUAAACAAGGCGGCAGCCGGGGAACUCCCUGGCAGGGCCCUCUCCGCCUACGCUUGUGGUCAGGUGGUCUGGCCGGCAGUGAGUCAGCAUCCCAUGACCAGCCGUCAUAACAAGGGGAUCCCCAGCCCCCUUGCUGCCACCCACCUCAAUGACAUCUUAUCAGGCAGGCAGUCAAGGUGGGGAGAUGUUGCAUGGGUCUCUUCAGGCCCCGGGGGCCAAAAGAGCAAGUGGUAAAGAAUCUGCCUGCCAAGCAGAAGAGCCGGGUUUGAUCCCUGCGUUGGAAAGAUCUCUUGGAGAAGGAAAUGGCAAACUCCUCUAGUAUUCUUACCUGGGGAAUCCCAUGGACAGAGGAGCCUGCUGGAGUCCAUGCGGUGGCAGAGUCAAACAUGACUUAGCAACUAAACAAUGAUCGUUUCUUUGUAUUUUGUUGCUUGAGAAGUGUGUCCAGGUGCAAACAUUGCAGCGCUGCAGCAAAAGUUCCCAGGUCCCACCCAACCUGUCUCGAUCCCAUCCCUUGAAAAUAGUUUUCUUAAGUUUCCUUUAUUUUCUUUGCCAAGUGGAGCCAGGCUUAGACGUGUGUGGUGGGGCAGCCAGAAACAAACCCAAUGCACGACUCAGACUGAGCUGCUCUGGGCCACCAUUUAUAUGGAAGAUUACAGGAAAUCAAGCUUUUCCCCACCCCAACAUUAGGUCCAAGGUUUGAGUUCGUUUCUCCAAUAGAAAACGGUGUGAUGAGUAGGGUGCCUCCAGGACACAGGGCCGUAGGACCUGUCUGCUAUUCUCUUCCUCUCCCAACCAAAUAUUCCACCUGGUGACUUUUUCCUGGCUCCUCCCCUUUCCUAGACCGCUUUCCCCACUGCCUCCCACUGUAACCUCCAACCCUAAAUGUCACCUCAGUGGGGCCUUCCCUGACCACACCCUCGGGAAAAUCCCCAGGCAUUGGGUAUCACCCCUUUUUAGCCCUCUGGCAAAAGCGCACAGCUCAGCCCACAGGGAAUCAUGGGGGCAGGAGGGAAGCUUCUUAAAGAAAAGGAGCUUAAAAAGUCAGUGGCCCUGGGGAAAAGGAGGUGAAGUGACAGGGAGCGAACACCUCGCUCUAGGCGGCAGGCCCGCGGGUCAGAAGCGAUGCAGUGGGUCGCAGGGGCCCUGCAACGCUGGACGAAGUGACGUGGACCCUGCCCCAGGCUGGAGGGCGGGCGGGGCGCCUUUCCAGCCCCCCUGGAGACCUACCCCCGGGCGCCCCUCCGAAGGCAAGGUCCAGCUUGACUGCGGAAGGCUGGGAGAAUCAAGGCAGGAGCCAUGCGGUGUGGGGGCGCGGAACUCGAGGAAAUGGUGGGGCGACCCUUGGCGGGAUCUGGUGCCGCAGGCGGAGCCCCGCGGAGGUGCCUGGGCCCUCCGGGCGGGGGACGGCCGCUCAAGGCAGAGGGGUGCCGGGUCCCAGCUGGACUGCGGGCGGCAGUCUCCCGGGCGCGCCUCUCCGGCCGAGCGCGGGGGUGGCGGGGGCGGGAGAGGCGCUUCCCUGACCAGGUUUGGGAGGUUAGGAUCGCGUGGAACGGACGGCCGCUGCUUGUCAGGGUCCGGUCAGUGUCCCUCCUCUCCCCGGCUCCCUUCGAAACCUUCUGGAAAAGUUAUCUGUCGUUCUCUUGUGCUCUGAAGUCCCGCCCUCCUGCUAGGCUCCCCACCAGCCGCUGCCUCUUGGUAGCAGCUAGCUCCCCCAAGGCUUGGGCGCCCUCUGCUCCUGGCGCAGGGCACCUCUUUGGCUCAGCCUGGGUCCCAGCGCCUGAACUUUGGGGGAGCUGGGGUAGCAUUUGCGGGGUCAAGUGCUGGACGUCGCGCGUGCCUUUCAUCGUGUAACCCUAACUCUCGAGCUGGGAUGGCGCUGCUCCUCCUCCGACCUUCGGUAAAACGGUGUCUCGGACGCCCCCUUCCGACUGCUCGUGACUAUAUAACAUCCAGCUGAAGACUAGCAGGGGGGUACUCUUUCUGCCCCCUUCUGAUGCCUAUGUCAGAGGCUUUCUCUAUCUCCUUUAUACUUUAAUAAAACUUUAUUACACAAAAGCUCUGAGUGAUCAAGCCUCGUCUCUGACCCCGGAUUGAAUUCUUCUCCUCUGGGGCCAAGAAUCCCGGCAUUGUGAUUCAACAACAACCUUUCAGAAGGAAAUGGCAACCCACUCCAGUAUUCUUGCCUGAAAUCCCAUGGACAGAGGAGCCUGGUGGGCACUCAAAGUCCUUGAGAUCACAAAGAGCUGGGCACGACUUAGUGACUAGACGACA
ensembl:lncRNA